UACAGAGGUCUCAAGCGUUGUUCGGAUUCAUUGGGCGUAAAGGGUGCGUAGGUGGCGCGCUAAGUCAGGUGUGAAAUCUCGGGGCUCAACUCCGAAACUGCAUUUGAUACUGGCGUGCUUGAGGACUGGAGAGGAGACUGGAAUUCAUGGUGUAGCAGUGAAAUGCGUAGAGAUCAUGAGGAAGACCAGUGGCGAAGGCGGGUCUCUGGACAGUUCCUGACACUGAGGCGCGAAGGCCAAGGGAGCAAACAGG
rnacentral:rRNA from 1 species